GGGAAGGUGGCUCAGUGGUAGAGUGCUUGCCUUGCAUGCAUGAGGCCCUGGGUUUGAUUCUUAACCACCACA
rnacentral:tRNA from 1 species